rnacentral:misc_RNA from 1 species
GAUGAAGAACGUAGCGAAAUGCGAUACUUGGUGUGAAUUGCAGAAUCCCGUGAACCAUCGAGUCUUUGAACGCAAGUUGCGCCCGAAGCCAUUAGGCCGAGGGCACGCCUGCCUGGGCGUCACACGUCGUUGCCCCCCCAUCUACUCCUUCGGGAUUGCGGGGGGCGGAUGAUGGCCUCCCGUGCGCCACGCCGCGCGGUUGGCAUAAAUGCCAAGUCCUCGGCGACGCACGCCACGACAAUCGGUGGUUGCGAAACCUCGGUUGCCCAUCGUGUGCGGUCGUCGCGCAUCGAGGGCUCGAAAAAAUUGCCGGGUUCCGGCUCGGCUUUCAACGCGACCCCAGGUCAGGCGGGGUUACCCGCUGAAUUUAAGCAUAUCAAUAAGCGGAGGA